rnacentral:rRNA from 1 species
UACGUAGGGGGCAAGCGUUGUCCGGAAUUAUUGGGCGUAAAGCGCGCGCAGGCGGUCCUUUAAGUCUGAUGUGAAAGCCCACGGCUCAACCGUGGAGGGUCAUUGGAAACUGGGGGACUUGAGUGCAGGAGAGAAGAGUGGAAUUCCUGGUGUAGCGGUGAAAUGCGCAGAUAUCAGGAGGAACACCGAUGGCGAAGGCAGCUCGCUGGGACGGUACUGACGCUGAGGCGCGAAAGCGUGGGGAGCAAACAGG